GACGAACGCUGGCGGCGUGCUUAACACAUGCAAGUCGAACGGAGCGAAUGAAAGCUUGCUUUUAUGAGCUUAGUGGCAAACGGGUGAGUAACACGUAGACAACCUGCCGAUCAGAUGGGGACAACAUUCCGAAAGGAAUGCUAAUACCGAAUGGCGUGUAGGGAAGGCAUCUUCCCUACAUGAAAGAUGGCCUCUAUAUAUAAGCUAUCACUGAUCGAUGGGUCUGCGUCUGAUUAGCUAGUAGGUAAGGUAACGGCUUACCUAGGCGACGAUCAGUAGCCGGUCUGAGAGGAUGAACGGCCACAUUGGGACUGAGACACGGCCCAGACUCCUACGGGAGGCAGCAGUGGGGAAUCUUCCGCAAUGGGCGCAAGCCUGACGGAGCAACGCCGCGUGAGUGAAGAAGGUCUUCGGAUCGUAAAGCUCUGUUGAAGGGGACGAACGUACAUAGUGCGAAUAGUGCUGUGUAAGGACCGGACC
rnacentral:rRNA from 1 species